AGGACCAGAUAGAUAGAUCGGAAGGAUUCUAUCGAAACCGAAGUUAGUUCAAAGGGACGCUUAGAUCUUGUUAAAUACUCGAUGAAACGCUCGACGUAACGUCGGUUUUGCAUCGAAUCUACUCCCGUAGGAAGAUUAACUUCUUGCAUCGUCGAUCGAUCCAUCUAUCGUGAAUGAUCGAACCAGGAAAUACAUUGUUUUCUUUUUUUUUUUUUUUUUUUUUCUCUAUUACUUCCGAUCGGCUGGAAAUAAAGCCAAUGAAGAGGAGAGAAGAUUUAAGGAUUUAUUCGAAAAUAAAUUUUGAUUUACAAUAUAUAAAACAGAGAAAGGAUCGAUAUAUAUAUAUAUAUACUAUAUAUACUAUAUAUCGAUUAUGCAAAAGUGUUCAAUGCAGACGACAAAAGAAAUCACGUCGCAAAAUCUCGUGACAUUGAAUUGGCGUGUACAUAAGAAGGAAAUAGCUCGCGGAUAAGAGAAUGAUCCAUUAGCCAUAGGAGAAGGUAAUAUGGUAUUAACACGCGCAAGAGGGGCGUGCUGACCUAUCCCACUGGCCAAACGACGGAGGCAGAGAAAGAGAAAGAGAGAGAGAGUGAGAGAGAGAGAGAGAGAAGAGAGAAGGAUAUACGUGUGAAAGGGGAAAAGGUAAUAGGAGGAGGGUGACGGCCAUUCCUUACCAUCCUGGCACAGUUAAUUACCGUGGAUUAUGAUUCUCUUGAACAGAGAUCAACCUUGCCUUCUUUGAAAGGGUUAUCUACAUUGACUGUCUGCUUGCUGACAGGACAGUGGACGGGGUGGGGGAGGAAAGAAAUUAUUCGUGAUAAUAAU